rnacentral:tRNA from 1 species
GUCGGGAUAGCUCAGCUGGYAGAGCAGAGGACUGAAAA